rfam:Bosea thiooxidans strain CGMCC 9174 V5_1, whole genome shotgun sequence.
UGGCGUCCGUUGGGGUGCCGGAAGGCUGAGAGGCGCGGGGUCGCGUCAACCCAUCGCACCUGAUCCGGGUAAUGCCGGCGAAGGGAACGGUCCUCGGCUCGCA